ACUCAGCCUCUUCUGCUCUAACAAUGAAGCUUCUGCUCUUUCUCUCGCUUCCUCACACGUAUCCAUCCCUGAACUGCACUUGUCAGCCUCCUUCUGGUACUGCGACGCAAAUUUCUUGGCCUCGAGCAGUGUCACAUCUGCACGUCGCUGAGCUUCAGUCGCCUCUGCUUCUCUCAACUUCAGUUCUUCUGCAAGGAGGUCUGUGAAAUUCUUUUCCAUUUCUUCACUCACCUCCGGGUCACGUUUUGCACAAUCUGUAAUCGAUACGUUGCUCA
rnacentral:misc_RNA from 1 species